AAGUCGUAACAAGGUUUCCGUAGGUGAACCUGCGGAAGGAUCAUUAAUGAGUUUUUGAAAUGGGUUGUUGCUGGCUUCUUUUUGAAGUAUGUGCACGCCUUGCUCAUCCAGUCUCAAACCAUUGUGCACUUAUUGUAGGCUUGGUUUUUGCUGCAUGGAUCUUAUUAUCUAUGUGUAUGAAGCCUUGUCUAUGCUUUUUAUAACAAACAUGUUAGUAAAAGAAUGUAAACAUAUGUGUUUAACACAUUUUAAAUACAACUUUCAGCAACGGAUCUCUUGGCUCUC
rnacentral:misc_RNA from 1 species